rnacentral:rRNA from 1 species
AGAGUUUGAUCAUGGCUCAGAUUGAACGCUGGCGGCAGGCUUAACACAUGCAAGUCGAGCGGAGAUGAGGUGCUUGCACCUUAUCUUAGCGGCGGACGGGUGAGUAAUGCUUAGGAAUCUGCCUAUUAGUGGGGGACAACAUUCCGAAAGGAAUGCUAAUACCGCAUACGUCCUACGGGAGAAAGCAGGGGAUCUUCGGACCUUGCGCUAAUAGAUGAGCCUAAGUCGGAUUAGCUAGUUGGUGGGGUAAAGGCCUACCAAGGCGACGAUCUGUAGCGGGUCUGAGAGGAUGAUCCGCCACACUGGGACUGAGACACGGCCCAGACUUCUACGGGAGGCAGCAGUGGGGAAUAUUGGACAAUGGGGGGAACCCUGAUCCAGCCAUGCCGCGUGUGUGAAGAAGGCCUUAUGGUUGUAAAGCACUUUAAGCGAGGAGGAGGCUACUGAGACUAAUACUCUUGGAUAGUGGACGUUACUCGCAGAAUAAGCACCGGCUAACUCUGUGCCAGCAGCCGCGGUAAUACAGAGGGUGCGAGCGUUAAUCGGAUUUACUGGGCGUAAAGCGUGCGUAGGCGGCUUUUUAAGUCGGAUGUGAAAUCCCCGAGCUUAACUUGGGAAUUGCAUUCGAUACUGGGAAGCUAGAGUAUGGGAGAGGAUGGUAGAAUUCCAGGUGUAGCGGUGAAAUGCGUAGAGAUCUGGAGGAAUACCGAUGGCGAAGGCAGCCAUCUGGCCUAAUACUGACGCUGAGGUACGAAAGCAUGGGGGGCAAACAGGAUUAGAUACCCCGGUAGUCC